rnacentral:tRNA from 2 species
GGUAAGAUGGCCGAAGCUUAGGCGGUGGAUUGUAGCUUCACAUAUAGAGGUUUAAAUCCUCUUCUUAUCA